GGGAGUUAAAGCCUUACUGGCAGAUGGUUUUCUUCGUCACUAAAUAGGAGGAGCUUUGCUCUGCUUGGUGAACCAUUAGGUGCUUUUGAGGCCAGCCUGUCCCUGAGACAUUGCCUAAAAAGGCUGGACUUGGGGGAGCAUUGGGGAGAGGGAUCGUUUCUCCCACUCUGGCACUAAGAGUAGAAAUGCUCUCAAACUCUGCUUUUCCACCUUUUUCUUCUCCGCAUUCCAGAAAGGCUGCAGAGAAUCUUUCCAAGUGUUGGAAUAGACAGUAAUCUAAUGUUACAAAUACAGAGCAUAUUCUAAGUGUAUUUUGUUAGUUCUUGGCAAUGGCGGAUUGGUCUUGCUCAAGUUUAUUCUGUAAAAAAAAAAGUGAAUUGCAGAAAGAGGGAAUAUAGAUUGGAUGAAAUGCAAAGCAGGGAAUAAUAAUGCUAGAUUUGGAAAGGGGAAAGAAAAAGGCGAGUUAACUGAACUCUUGCAGUUGGCCAAAAUGUAGGGGAAAGGAAGUAUGCUGUCGGUACAUUUCAGUAUAAUCGUUUCUGAAGUGCUGAUCUAUCAGAAAUUUGUCCAUUUAAUCUAAAUUCCAUUACUGAGGCCUUCAGUGCCAAGAUUCACUAUCUUUAGAAAACUAGCUUACAGUAAAAAAAGACAGUGUGGUGGAAGUAAACAGAAUUAUAUGCCGGUUAAAAGCAAACAUAGUAGUUAAGACAUCAAAGCGUUAGUAUCAAAGCAAAGAAAAUUAUCCCUGGUUAAAGGGCAAAAGGAGACAGAAAUAUGGCAGAUCUGUACCACGGAGGGAGUUAUGCAGGUCAUGUUGCCACCACUUAGAAGACCUCUUUUUCUGGUUUCAGAGAUAGAGAGAUCAGAAAGUAGGAUCUCCCUGAGCAGUCUCAAAAAUCAGGAGGAGACUCUUGUAGCUCUCUUAACAUUUCACUGACCCAAGUUCCCUUCUUUGAAACAGCAUAAGCCCUAUUGGAAACAGAGAAGAGUAAGUCUUUUGGCACACUCCAGAAUUCAUCUUUCCUCUUGUCCUUAGUUUAAUGAGACAAGCAACUUUUCUAGAAAAGUGUAUGUCUGCUGAUUAAACACUCUUUAAAAUAUCUUAGUGGACAAAACUGUUUGCAUUUGUCUGUCCUUGCUUGCAUCAUUAAUCUCUGGGCUAUUUAACUUGGUAUCUGUUAGUAUAGAACAUAAUGAGUGUUUAGCUUUAGCUGAUUCAAAUUCAUCACAUUCAGGCAGACUAAGUACAGUUUAAAUACAAAAAAUACUAAAUAUCUAACAGGGGGGUUGGUGAUAAUAGAUUAUAGAGGCCUCCAUAAAAUCUUUUUCAUUUAUUCUACUUUGCCACAGAUGUCUCUCUUAAAUGUUCAGGUAGAGCCAUUUUCCCCCACCCAAAAUACAGUUUGAGAGUAAGGAGUUAAAGGUUCUGUUAGAAAGCUCACUUAACUCACUCAGUUCUUCUC
rnacentral:lncRNA from 1 species